ensembl:lncRNA
GCAGCUCGAAGCCCGCGAGAUCGCUGCGCCAGGACUCGGUUUCAUGCUAAAUAAAGCGACCACAACAACAACAACAACAGGGGGGCGGGGGCACCAACUGGAAAUAUCGCCCCCUUCUACUUUUGCCUGAGGGUUUUAUAGACAUCGAUGCGCGUAAACCGUGGACCCGGACGGGUCGUAGCGCCGCGACAUGCUGACCGAAGUCCACGUCCCGACACGGGGGGAGUCCGACACAAAGUGAGCCGGCUCUCCCUCUCUGAUCCCCCUAAAACGAGGAUCACCUCCAGCCUGCAGCCGGGCACCCGGAUCCCGAACGUCCUCGGGUGUUGCACACAAGUUUGAAGCUGAGCUGUGAACACUGUCGCGCAGCUGCUGAGGUUUCAAAGAGAAUUGGAAUUCUAAAUGUUCACGGUGUCUCGUUUUUUCUUUUUCUCAAUGUGGAUAUCCCCAAAAUCCUGCGCAAAUUGUGAUAAAAGCCUGCCAUGGGGGUGCAAACAUGACGAGGUGAAACGCUGCCGGGUGUUUCACUGGUUAAGCUUCCACAGCAGCCGUGAGUCGGACCGGAUGUCUGAAAGAUGACACUUGGGACGAAAGCCCUUCCCGGCAAAUGCAAUGCAUUGAUUUCCGCCAUUGCCCACAUUGUAAAUAACUCUUGUGGAUAUAUUUAGUUUGUAUGGACCACGAUGCUAUUGUGCUGUCCUGGGUGUGUGCUUUUUCUCCCCCUUCUCCCCACCGCUUGGACCUUUCACAGCGGCGGUGCAGCUUAGAUUCUAAAAGACCAUGAACACAUCGACCUCUGUACCGCACCUUUUCCUGCUUCCUCCAAUCGAUUGAUUCUCUGAGCGUGCGCAAAGGGAAGAUGGACCCGGGCAUGAAACUGAAUGGACUGGGAAUGUGUGUGGGAAGGAACGCUGGGGGAAUAACGAGUGGCACUGUGGAAGACGCGGUGCAGAAUGUUGCAGGCUUAAAGGCUGCAAGGGAAAGAAUUACCUUUGGCUGUGAGAAAACUUGUCUUUUCUCUGCUGCGGGACCAACUACUGGAUGGGAAUCCGCACUCACCAUUUGAAUUGAGAAGCUCCCCCUGUUGCGCUGCGGGAUAUCCACCCGGCACCCCUGAAAGUUAUUUCGUUGUGUACCCUUAUCUUGGAUUGCUGCUUUGCUGUUUCUCAGAAGUGUCUCUUUGGAGGGGACUCUUCCUAUUUGAAGUCAGAGAACAGUAAGUUUACAAACCCCCCCCCCGCCCGUUUUUAGUGUGAGCGCACCUCGGUGUGUCUUCCUGAAUGAGAGUGUUCCCGGUCGACCAUCGGAGUGCGUCUAGAGACUGACCUCCCGUUGCCGCGGCGAUGGGGAGCUCGGCCUCGUCUCUCACCGCGGAGACCGAGUCGGACCACGGCUUCCGCAGCGCCUCGUACCCGUCGCCCCCCCCCGUGGGCUGGCUCAGGAACAGCCACAGCAGCCCGGUGUGGGGCACCACCUUCAUCGCCCGGCAGCAGCAGCAGCAGCAGCAGCCGCUGCCUCACCGCGAGCGCAGCGGACUCACACACAUACGUCUAGCAACGCGCCUCGACCACCAGUCAGACUCCACCCG